rnacentral:tRNA from 1 species
UGUUAUGUAGCUUAGUUGGUUAAAGCGCCAGACUUGCGUUACGAAGUCGUGGGUUCAAAUCCCACCAAAACAA